ACGUAGGUGGCAAGCGUUAUCCGGAUUUAUUGGGUGUAAAGCGAGCGCAGGCGGUUGCUUAGGUCUGAUGUGAAAGCCGUCGGCUUAACCGCAGAAGUGCAUUGGAAACCGGGCGUCUUGAGUGCUGGAGAGGCAGGUGGAACUCCAUGUGUAGCGGUGGAAUGCGUAGAUAUAUGGAGGAACACCAGUGGCGAAGGCGGCUUGCUGGACAUCAACUGACGCUGAGGCGCGAAAGCGUGGGGAGCGAACAG
rnacentral:rRNA from 1 species